UGACGGUCAAGCCGAAACUCGUUGACAGCUGACAGGUGUGAUUCAUCCAUAAAUUACUUUGGGAGGAGCAGGAGAUACUGUUGGACAUUCUGUUCUUAAAUUUUGAGUUCCCCUCCCUAAUUUUCCAGGUACAGAAUCUACUGAUAAAUUUCGAGUUGCUGUGCAUUUUAGGCAGUUAGUGCUGUGCAUCAGAAGAGUAGAUUGCGAAAAAAGGUGUAACACCUCUAAAACCCGCCAAAGAAAAGAAAAAGCCAAAAGUGAAAGAGAUUGAGAAAGAAGAGUUGGUGAAAAUAAAUCCUGUUGAUCUGAUGAUGGCCCUUCAUUUACUUAGCAUUGUGGUAUAUGUGCCCGAAGAAUGAGUUUCCAUCCGAUUGAGAAAGAUGUGCUUAUGUUUCGUCAAGAUUCAUCUUGAGGAAACCAGAGGAAAACCGGAAUCAUUAACUUACAGCUGGUUUCACAAAACUGCGAUUUCCAAAAUGAAGUUUCUGAAACUUUUACAAUCCUGAAUAUAUUGAAGAGGUAGCUACUGAUAAUCAUUCGAUGGAGUAUAAUUGGAUGCAAAAAUGACAUUCGAAAUGCUCAUGACUGAAUUAUCGAUUGUAAACAAAUCUAUAUUGGUCUGUAAAUCAAGCGUUGAUCCUAUAUGUCAAGCUUUUUGAAACCAGGUGUUGGAAUCGAAAGAUCAAGUACAAGGAAC